GGAGGAACAGCGCCGACUCUGGAUGAGUUGCUAGCUUAGCCACCAAUCGUUACAGGCUGGACUGAAGGAGCGUGGGAAUUUAUUACCGCGAGGCUGAUCUGUCAGGCUGAGUGCACGUCCCCCGGUAACAGCGCCGAUGACACAUUAGAGCAAGCCACCUUACGACGAUAGCAGUAGCAGCAGUUCAUCACUGCCUGUGGUUUCUGUGCACGAUGAAAGUCAUAAUGGACUGUGUGCUCAAGAAGCAUGACCUCACCAUGGCCAGGAGCCUCUCUGACGGUGCUGAUUGACGUGCCAAUCAUCCACAUAUUUUUGCCAUGAGCAUGUAGAACACUAAACGAUAAUAAGGGACUUUCCUAAAAUGUAUCCAGUAAACUAUGAGCAAAAAUGAUCAAGCGUAAAAUUUAUUUGAAAAAAAUCACAAUAUGGAUUCUUUCUUUUCAAAUGACUUUAUUACACUAAAGAAGAUGCAAACAAAGUCUGACAGAAGUGAUUUCAUCCACAGAGAAGCUUGUUUCCCUCAUGCUCAUUUGGCAGUGCAUUUCCAUCGCAGUAGGAGGUAGUGACAUGUGCACUCUAAUUGGUUUUGGAAGCACUUCAAGUAUGGCAAAUAUUUUUCACAAACACGCAAGGGGAGAUGGAGUGGACUGAACAAGGGUGCAGGGAACACACUGACAUGGACUUGGAGGGAAAGGGAAAAGAUGAGAAGUGAAAAAUCACUGGGAUGCAUCUAAUGUGUCUCCCACAGUGUCUGCUUGGUUGGCCACUGCUUGGUUGGUGAAAUAACCACAUGCUGACAUAAAUGCAUCAGUGUGUAGAACUCAGCUUAGGUGCACAGCAUUUCUGAAUGUGGAUCCAAUGUGAUGAAUGAAAAUGAUGCUGUGUAGUAAUUGUGGCCAAAGCAGAUUUACUAAAAGAAGAGGCGCUUUCCACUGAUUGUAGUAAUAGUAAUGUAACGAAACUGAUACUGUUAUAAUGUUAUUAAGACGUGAUUGAUAUGAUAAGCAUUCACUGAUCACUUUCCAUAAUUGCAAAUGACAUUUUAAAGCUGUAGAAAUAUAUUGUAAUCAAUCUGAAGUGCUGAGUGCUGAGGUGAAUCAGGCCUCCACUCAGGAAGCAACCUGCUGCUGGCUGAUAAGGGAACAUUAGCAGACUUUCCCAUCACUCAGGAAAAAAAUAUAUAUUUAUACCAUUUUCAGCCUUCUUUAAAGGGUAAUGCACAUCGCUUUCUAAAUCCAAUGAGAGAAAAGUUUAAGCCUCUUUUCAGGAUGUGGAGCAUGAACAACACCAAAUAUCAGGUGGUUCUAACAGAACCUGGUCCUAAAAAGGACAAAACGUGACCCUGGUUCUCCUGGUUUGAAAUGCUAAACUCAUUAAACAAGAGCAAAUUUUGUCUCUUCAGAUUUGGUGAAAAGAGCUUAAUUAACUGAAAGGUUAUGAAACUGAAAGGUUUUAUGUAGACGUUCAAAGAUGAAUUAAUUGUCAGGAAACUUUGAAAGCAGAUCACUGAGGAGAUGAAUGAAUGUAAACAGCAGCUUUUGGAUUCAUUCUGCACCUAAGCAAUCAUUUUAAGCCUCUAAAAGUCUUUGCAUCCCUUUAUUGUCUUAAGACCAUUCUGAAUAGGACAUCUAUUGACAGACAGAUUUUUAAGUGUCUGAUAAAGAUGAUGAAGUAGAUAAUUCACUUAUAAAAAGAAAAGUUUUAAACUUUCAAACAAAACCCUGUACCACAGGUUAGUCCUGUGUAAUAUUAUACUUUAUUGUAUAGCACACCUAAAGCUUUGCACUCCUUGCUCCGCCUCGGGAUAAAACCUAAUGCACAUCACAAUUUUUAGUCAGUGAAUAUUCAUUUUCAAUUUCACCCACACUGCAGAACAGCAUUGAGCCAAAGAGGCCGAGCCUCUGCUCUGUGUUCAACCUGCCAGCAGGGGGCGGUGUUACCAUUGUCCUCCCAGCGUGUUCAGCGUUCACGCGGCUUUGGAAGACGUUUGACACAGCAGCACUUCCUUGCAAAUCCCAACCUCCUCGAAUAAAGACGGAUCGCCUGAAUGAUUCUCGCCCCUUAGCUGUUUAUUACGCACUUUAUGAAAGACGGCAAACAGAAUCAAUUUCACAUUGCAAACACAAAGAGCUUCGAACCACAUCAACAGUUCUGCUGCCAAACCACAUUUAGAAGUCAUAUUACUUUAAUGCAAGAAAAUCAAUGAACGCCAGUAAAGAGCAUCAUAAAUAUUCGAAGUGACUUUGUUGGUUUGAUUGUAUUGCUUUCAUUUUCAUAAAGCUCUUAUUUUUUACAUUGAGGUAAUUAUGUUCUGUGAAGGUAUAUACUUUUGUAUAUUUAAUAUCGAUUUUACUGUGUGGACAUGAGGAACAUUAGGUCUUCUACAGCUCUAAUGGGCCUACAAAUUACAAAACACAA